rnacentral:rRNA from 1 species
UACGUAGGGAGCGAGCGUUGUCCGGAAUUACUGGGUGUAAAGGGAGCGUAGGCGGGACUGCAGGUUGGGUGUCAAAUCUACCGGCUCAACCGGUAGCCGCACUCAAAACUGCAGUUCUUGAGUGAAGUAGAGGCAGGCGGAAUUCCUAGUGUAGCGGUGAAAUGCGUAGAUAUUAGGAGGAACACCAGUGGCGAAGGCGGCCUGCUGGGCUUUUACUGACGCUGAGGCUCGAAAGUGUGGGGAGCAAACAGG